UUGUUCAAGUCUAUAUAUAAAUAAUAACCAGCCUUGAUCCUUUAUGCUUUGAGGCUCAGAUCUUAUCAACACUCUCAAAGAUGGCGGAGGCUAAGCAAUGGUGAUCAAAGUUGACCUAAGUUGCAGCAAAUGCUACAAGAAAGUCAAGAAAAUACUUUGUGAAAUCCCCCAAAUACAAGAUCAAGUUUACGAUGAGAAGCAAAACACAGUUACUAUAAAAGUGGCGUGUUGCUGCAGCCCUGAAAAAAUCAUGCAAAAGAUCCGCUGCAAGGGCGGUAGGCAAUCAUAAGUAUAGAAAUCAAACCGCCUAAGAAGAAGAAUAGAGAAAAAAGAGGAGAUAAACCAAACCAUCUGAUGAGAGAA